rnacentral:rRNA from 1 species
CCCUUAGAUGUUCUGGGCCGCACACGCGCUACACUGAAGGAGGCAGCGUGUACUCCUGGAUCGAAAGAUUUGGGUAACCCGCGAAUCUCCUUCGUGCUAGGGAUUGAGGUUUGCAAUUAUCCUUCAUGAACGAGGAAUUCCCAGUAAGUGCAAGUCAUAAGCUUGCGCUGACUACGUCCCUGCCCUUUGUACACACCGCCCGUCGCUACUGCCGAUUGAAUGAUUUAGUGAGGACUUCGGACUGGGACCGAUGCGGCUUUCGGGCUGCGUCGGUAUUCUGGAAAGAUGUCCAAACUGUAUCAUUUAGAGGAAGUAAAANUCGUANCA